rnacentral:snoRNA from 1 species
GUCUUACACUUGAUCUCUGAACUUCAGGUAAGUUCAUGUGCAAACUAUAUCAAUCCUGAUG